UCCGAUUUGCGACUUUAACAGAAAUGGCGACAAAAUCGCUAUUGUUCCAAACCACGAUUUCAGAUCUGAAGCAUCUCCAAUGGCGUAGCAAUGCCAAUGCGCUCUGCCGCCUGACAUUCGCGCGACCUCCUCUUCUUCCUCAUCAUACUUCUCUUCUUCCUCGUUCUCCUCCUCCGCUGUACCGUCGUCUUCAUCUUCCUCAUUCUCCUCCUCCGCUGUACCGUCGUCUUCAUCUUCCUCAUUCUCCUCCUCCUCUGCUCCGACACCGUCUACGCACUCUAUUCUCUACUAUGUCCUCGAUGAACUCGCCGCAGGAGGAGGCCUCUGUCAAAACAGUGAGAAUGGUGAUAAGGGGGAGAGUGCAAGGUGCGUCGGAUCUAUCGGAAUUGGACGAUUGAUAAUGCGAAGGAGUUAGGGUUGAAAGGUUGGGUUCGGAACCGCCGGGAUGGAUCUGUGGAGGCGUUGUUUUCGGGAGAUGGAGCAGCGGUGUAGGAGAGGUCUUCCUGAUGCUAUGGUGACUGGGAUUCAGGCAUUUCAUUUCCGAGCACGGAUGAUCCUGGGAAUGAAUUCGACUGUGUGAAUGAAUGAAUCAGCGAUUCUGAUCAGUAAAGGAACGCAACUCCCAAAAGUAGCUGUCGGCGCAGGAAGGAUGUUGCCAAGGCCUGCAGUGCCAGCCAUCGAAGACUUCUCUAACGAAUUCUUCUACUUCAGGCAGAGGGCAAUCCAGUAGCGUUGUUCAGGGUUUAGGGAAACCGACAGGAUUACGAAUGCCUUCUCCCAAAAUCGGGUUCUUGAUGGGGUGAAAUCAUCCCCUCGCACUCCCAAUGGUUUGCGCACUGUGUCACCCAAAAAUGGAGCUGCUGCAAGCAGCAGUCCAGUUCGAUAAAAAGGUAUUGCUGGAAUAAGCUUCAGCAUAUCGGCGGAUUUAAAGAAAAAACUUUCAGCAUAUCGGUGGAUUCAUAUUUCAAGGUAUGUUGCUUUUAUUAUUUGAGAAAGUUGAUAUCAUAUUUGAAAAAAAAAAUGUGGCAAUUUAAAGCUGGUAUUACUCCCCCCAUCACGCAAAAAAUUAGUGCAUUUUUUGCGAGGGAGGGAGUAAUAUUUUUUGGGCUGGCUUGGGCUGUUUUAAAAUUCAGGUCCGAUAGGUUCGGCCUGAUUUUGCAUUGGGCUUGAAAACCCAAACCAAGGCAUGGCCCGGUUUCAAAUUACACCGGGCAAGCUUAGCCCAACUCAGAUUUUUAAUAUUAGAUUUUAAAAAUAAUAUAUCAUAUUUUAUUAAAUAAUAAAUUAUAUUAAUCUAAAUUGAUAUAAUUAGGACAAAGUAUUUUAUUGAUAAUUAAGAAUUUAAACAUUAAUUAAUUAUUAAUUUUAUUAUAUAGAUAAUUUAUAUUAAAAAUUAUUUUUUCUUAAAAUAUUUUAAUCAACUAGACACUGCUAGGCACGUCAUAAUUUGCAUAGGCCUCAAACCAAGUUUGGUUAU